UAUGGUUUAUUUAUAGGGGCAUUAGAUCGGUUAGAGAAAGCACGAGGUGGUCUGGACGAAUCAAAUCGUGGUAAGUGUCAUUCCACGGGAGCUCCGAACACUAAUUAGCCUCCGAUUGGUUCCUUCCUUUUUUUAGUUAAACAUCAUCCAAAAGUGGAUAAGCACGACCUUAAAUAAUGAACGGAAUGUGGAUAACCUUUGGCCCUAACCUACGAUCUGUCACCGGACCGCAAGAACAUUGAGACGGCAUUCUCCGUCACCAAUAUCUCAAGAGGUCGUGACACAACUUAAGGCUUUCUAAGGACUAUAAUAU